AAACACUUUAGUUAAACAGUAAAAUUUUAUGAAUAAACCUUGAGAAAGAAUCUGGUUUGGUAUGGGAAGAAACUAUGUCUGGUCUACAAACACCAUCCUGCAGAGAAUUGUCUGGCCUUGAAGUUGAAUCAGGCUGAGUGAAAACUUUUAUAGUGAGUAAAUAGGAUAAAAUAAUAUAUAAUAGAAGAGAAAUCUACAUUUUCUGACAACAGUUACUCUCAGGUUGCAGUUUGGCAAGCGACAGCUCAACACAAAAUGGAAAAGGUUAUAACUACAAGUGAGAAGUUUGUUCUCAAAAAAGGAAUAAAAUUAUCCGUUGUUAGGAACUGCAGGGCUUAAAGUUCUCCGGCAUAGUGGCAGAUUUCCAGCUUGCAUCAACUGUGGUUGUAUUAGAAGAAAUGGGAUUGUGUAUUGAAAUGCAUAUUUUAAAACCAUCAGAAAAGGUUUCUGCUCCAGAUAGUUAACAAGCUAGCUGUUAACUGAUGCAGGGCUGCCGAUAGCACGGCUUGGUAGUGAUCUGAAAAGGGGUCCCUAUGUCCUCCAGCAGUCUAAGCCUAUAGCAGCAUAACUAUAGAGAUAGCUCUGGAUAACCUGAGCCACUCUAACUAUAAGCUUUAUCAAAAAGGAAAGUUUUAAGCAUUGCCUUAAGAGCAGACAUGGUGUCUCCCUCCGAGGCUAAAACUGGUAGUUGGUUCCACAGGAGAGAAGCCUGAUAACUAAAAGAUUUGUAUCCCAUUCUAUUUUUAGAAGUUCUAGGAACCACUAGUAAACCUGCAGACUGACAGACCGCCUGCAGGAUUAUGUUGGAAAAGAGGAGGAUUUCUCUGACCAUCAGCUCUGUGGACAGGGGAGGAAAUCCAGUUUGGACCAAGAGGAAUCUGAACAUCCGCAGAUAAAAGAAGAGCAUCAAAAGCCAGAACAUCCCUGUAUAAAAGAGGAAACCAUGGAGCUCCCCAUAAGUGAGCAAAAAGAACAGCUUGUUCUUAAGCAGACGAUUAAAGAUACAAGAGAGAAUCCUUUCCCAUGUUUGACAUGUGGAGAAAACUUUCUUAAAAAAAAGCAUUUAAUGGUUCACAUGAGAACUCACAAAGGUGAGAAGUUUUAUUGUCUGUCCUGUGGAAAAUGUUUCUCAAAGAAAUCUAGACUUGAUAAACAUAUGAAAAUUCACACAGGUGAGAAGCCUUUUUCCUGUACCAUUUGUAACAAUAAAUUUAAUCGAAAGGAUCUUUUGACUAGACACAUGAGAUUUCACACAGGUGAGAAGCCUUUUGAAUGUCUGUCCUGUGGAAAAAGCUUCACUAACAAAUCUUAUCUUGAUAGACACAUCAGAAUUCAUACUCGUGUGAAGCCUUUUGAAUAAGUCACAGUCAGCAGUUAGAUGCCACAGGAAUGAACAGUAGAGGUGUUUACCAUGUUUGACUGGUGAUAAAAUGUCCAUCUAGAAACUCCUUCACCUCAUUACAUUAGAAACUCACGGGUUAAUGUCCUUUUUUUUGAGGACAGUUUUGAGAAAGCCAUUAAUUAACAGCUCUGUUUACAUAGAAACCAGAACAGAUAAUGUGUUAUUUGGUAAAUCCUGUACUCAGUUGAUCUAAGCAAUUGAUAAGGUUAAAUAGAAAAAAAAAAUCAAGGCAGACCCAUACUGUGCAACUUUGGCAUGGUGUUGCACAUCUUUUUUCUGAAUUAAUUUAUUAAGAAAAAAAACUGUAGUUUUAUUUUUUACACUAAGAAACUUUUAGUUGAAUGAUAAGCUAUCGGUUGGUUAUAUUCCAGAAACAGACUUUUAUUCAGAUGAAAAUAUCCUCAGAUGAAAAUAAAAGCAAAGCUAGUACAGAUUUAAUGUGCUUUGCUCAGUGUUGCUGAUGUUUCUGGAGGAUUUUCUAAGAGAUCAGCUGCAAAUGAUCAGAGUUUAACUAAUUCAGUGUCUUGUUGGCUUUCAUUAGCAAUGCAUCAAUCAGCCCUGCUACGUGUGUUGUUGAAACCAGGCCCACCAACACUCCAACUGUUUUUGGCACAGUGUUAGAGCUAUGGUCAAUAGAUAUUAGAAUGAAGUAGAUCAUCUAUAGAGGAGUCUCAGAUGAAGAUUUGGGACAUGUAUAAGUGUGUGUCAGUCUCAGAGUUAGUCAGCUACAAGCUAAUUAAUGUUUCAAAGUAGCUCCAGCCACCUUGAAAGGGGGUGCUGGGAUUAUGGGGUUAAACUACGGGACAUCAAAGAACUCAGUUUAGAGGCUGGAGUCUGUAGUUCAGGUAAAUUGGAGUCCUAAAAUGAUGAAACAUGUUUGUUUAAAAAGAUAAACAGGAUUGAUGAUGUUGAUGUUAUUUUACUGAUCAGUUUGAACCUGCUUUAACUUGGUAAAAAGCCUUUGUCUUAAUAAUGUAUUAAAGAAAUCUGACUCUCCUCUAGAAGUGUGAAGUUUCUGCUGUUUAAAGAUUUUUUUGAAAGUUUUUCCUUUGAACUAAUUCUAAUAGUUUUGUUCUUGAUUCUGUAGAUGUUCUAUUUACCUGCUAUGAUUGAAAGUAACUAUCAUCUAUUUUAUACAACUGAUUUUAUGGAUUAUAUUGUGCUGUGGAUGUUUUCAAUUAUUGUAAUCGCUUCUAAAUUGAUGAACGAGCAGCAAUAAAAACCUCAUGGAUUGUAAAAAUGUGCUUCUUUAUAUUGUUUCAUUAAAUUGCAAUCUUUUUCCAUGUUUUCGCUGAUAUUUUGAGGAAAACUAAAGCUGUAAAAUAAAUAGUUUAAUGGCAUUCAC